CGGGAUGCUGCACCAGUGAGGAAUAUUGCACAAUGGAGGAAACUCUGAUGCAGCAACGCCGCGUGGAGGAUGACGCAUUUCGGUGUGUAAACUCCUUUUAUAUGUCAAGAAAAUGACGGUAGCAUAUGAAUAAGCACCGGCUAACUCCGUGCCAGCAGCCGCGGUAAUACGGAGGGUGCAAGCGUUACUCGGAAUCACUGGGCGUAAAGGACGCGUAGGCGGGAUAUCAAGUCAGGUGUGAAAUCCUACAGCUUAACUGUAGAACUGCACUUGAAACUGGUAACCUAGAGUAUGGGAGGGGGAGAUGGAAUUAGUGGUGUAGGGGUAAAAUCCGUAGAUAUCACUAGGAAUACCUAAAGCGAAGGCGAUCUCCUGGAACAUAACUGACGCUAAGGCGUGAAAGCGUGGGGAGCAAACAGGAUUAGAUACCCCCGUAGUC
rnacentral:rRNA from 1 species